UGUGGAUCGUUUAUUUUUUGGGGCUUGUGCUAGCGUAAGCUAUCGUGGCCAAAGAACGUAAUCGGAAGAGGUGACGAGACGAAUGCGUUCUUCGUGGUUAGGAAAAGAAUUGCCACUGGCAUCCAGUUGUGUGAGGCGCUGACGACAAGAGAUAGAAGCAGAUGCCAAAGAAGUCCCACCCCAAGAUGAGUUCAUGGGUCACUCACGAAAUACCGCAAAAACAACGUGGUGAAGAAUUUAGUCUAUGGACACACGAACAGUACACGGUGCGAUUGGACGAAUAAUAACGUUGGCUGCUGCACAAAGAGAAAGGCCGGAGUAAGGCAAUUCUUGUGUUUUAUAGAGUCCCGAACAGUCACAUGGCAAUAAUCGCCAAGCGUCUUGUAACAUGGAGCCACUUCAGAAUUGCACCAAACAAAGAUGAUGGAUGCAGCCAGUCUUGCCAGAUAACUACAUUUUGACUAUUCUGUAUUGUUUGCAUUUAUUGUGCAAAAGGAAUUCUCGCAGAGAGUUUUAUCUUCAGCGGCCUUCAGUUGACGUCAUCUGCUACAACUAGCACAUAAGUUAACUCCAUAGCACCACUAGGAUGGAGACAUUGUGUCGUGGGAUGCUUCCUUAAAAGUGGGCAAGAAGAUUCUAAAGGAAAAGUGUGAGAAGGUCACAGUAAUAACCAAGGCAUUUGGCAUGGGAAUGACCCAGCUGUGAAGGUAUUAUCAGAUGUGGACAAGCAUAUAAUACUAAAUGGCGCCUUGCACGAGUCCCAAGUGUCAAAUGUAAUGAGUAUUGUACAUUGAAAGGGCCAAAAAUGUUUUGUACAUGCAAGGGAACACUAUGGGCAUUUGAUAGCAGUUGCUUAGAUGUACUACAUUAAAAGGAACCAAACGAAUUCCCUUAGACAUAAGCAUGCAGCAAAUUCAAGGACUAGAUGAAGCUUCAAAGAAACUGCAUUUCAUGUAGGAUAGGUGUGAAUGACCUUUGUGCAUGAGAUCAGUGACAAAAACACUAAAUGAAUGCAGUACAGUGUCUGUAUCAUAUCUUGUGCAGACCAAACGAGCCUGGAGUUUCAGCAUUCCUUGUCAGUACAUUUAAAUAGGCACUACAUUGUUCAAAGUGCAAUAUUGUUCUACAAAACAAUAUGCAAGAUGUAGCAUGCUAACCCUCGUGGCUCAACAACUACUGAACCGAAACCUCAAUGAGUAGUGAAGCGUCCUUGUAAUUUUCAUCGUAACCAUACUUUUGCUCUUGAAAGUGAACCUCUUUAGUGAAUUUGCUUGUGUAUUUUUCUUUAGGCAAGUAUUUUUUAUACAUGUUAAUGUCUCAAUCCUGCUUUCUCUUUCCGGAGCUAAAACAAAAUGCCUCUUAUUUCAAUUUGAUCUUUUGACCUAGGAAGCCAUCAUCUGGUGCUGUGUACAGCAAGCACAUGCUUCGGGCAAGGAGGGAGCCAGCACCAUAUCUACAUCAGCAAGAACCUCGGUGCUCAAAAUAAACAUUUUCUGUGCAAA